GCGCCGACAAUAAUGUUUUCCCAAACAAGCUUGUGGCGUGGCGGUGGCGGUGGCGACGGUGGACAUCCAAGACUCGUCAUUACGGCGGCAGUUUCACAGUAGCACGAUUGAGAUAAAUGAAGCAAUUGAAGUCAAAUUGGAGAUUGCAAAUCGACCUGCAAAAAGUGCGGUGGGUGGAGAGGAAUGUCCGAUUCAGUUAAGGCCGUGAAUUUGGGAUAGAGGUAGUGGGAGAUGUUGAAAGGGCGCGACGGGAUGAUUGCCGAGUGUGUCAACACAAGGGAAAGGAAAAUUGUGAGCAAAAAUAGCGUCGAAUUUGGGGCAGUCAUCGAAUUAUUGAAUGUCGACU